rnacentral:rRNA from 1 species
UGGGGAAUUUUGGACAAUGGGCGAAAGCCUGAUCCAGCCAUGCCGCGUGAGUGAAGAAGGCCUUCGGGUUGUAAAGCUCUUUUAGUCGGAAAGAAAGAGUUGCAAUGAAUAAUUGUGAUUUAUGACGGUACCGACAGAAAAAGCACCGGCUAACUACGUGCCAGCAGCCGCGGUAAUACGUAGGGUGCGAGCGUUAAUCGGAAUUACUGGGCGUAAAGGGUGCGCAGGCGGUCUUGCAAGUCAGAUGUGAAGGCCCCGGGCUUAACCUGGGAAUUACGUUUGAAACUACAAGGCUAGAGUGCAGAAGAGGGGAGUGGAAUUCCAUGGGUAGCAGUGAAAUGCGUAGAGAUGUGGAAGAACACCGAUGGCGAAGGCAGAUCCCUGGGUUGACACUGACGCUCAUGCACGAAAGCGUGGGGAGCAAACA